AGAGACUUAGGAUAAUUUAAGACCAAGGGCCUUCAAAGCCCUCAGCGAGGGUGAAAACCCCUUAGUCCCUG
rnacentral:tRNA from 2 species